UACGGAGGAUGCGAGCGUUAUCCGGAUUUAUUGGGUUUAAAGGGUGCGUAGGCGGGCUUUUAAGUCAGCGGUAAAAAUUCGGGGCUCAACCCCGUCCGGCCGUUGAAACUGGGGGUCUUGAGUGGGCGAGAAGAAGGCGGAAUGCGUGGUGUAGCGGUGAAAUGCAUAGAUAUCACGCAGAACCCCGAUUGCGAAGGUAGCCUUCCGGCGCCCUACUGACGCUGAGGCACGAAAGUGCGGGGAUCGAACAGG
rnacentral:rRNA from 1 species